AAGCUGCAAGCUGAAGAAUAAAAUCGCCUUAGCUAAUAGAGCGGCAUGCUAUUAUGUACCUGAAGGUUUAACUGCUAUAUUAGCCUGAAAGAAUCAUUUGGAGGGGCGAAAGGAGUUCGCUUUUCCCUGGGCUACAUCAGUGAAUUCAAUUUCUAUUGAAGAGAGACUAGCAUUUUAAAAACCACUGUGUGUGGAGCUUCGAGUCCUUUUCUUCUUUCGACCUCCUUAAGAUGUGCAGAUUUUUCCUGCCACACACCCAGCUUCAAGUGCUUCCUUGCUACAGACCUUAAAGCAACAGGAAAAUUGAUCACAGACUGGACAUUUUAAAACUGGCUGCCAUGAGAAGAAAUGACAGAGUGUUUCUGAAGACAAUUCAACAGAUCUGGCAAAGUGCUAUGGACGUAAGCAAGGCUCCACUUUGCCUUCAUUGAAAGUAGAGUCAGCAUUGGUGUUGAGACUAUUUGCCAGAGAGUAGCCAUGCCUCAGCCAGAGGCCUUUUCCCAACUUCAUCGUGUGAGAGUUAGGAAACAUUUUGAACAAUGUCAGUUGGAAGAAUGGAGAGUGUAGGCCCGUCAUCCGAUGAGGAAAUAGUGACACUCAAAUGCCCUUUGCAAAGUACCAUUAUACUGUUCAUGCCUCAGCAUCCCCCAACUGUCCUUUAGGUAGCUAACAGCAUCAUCAUUCACAUAGGGAAUCUAAAGUCUGUCGCUGAGCUCUGACUCCAAAACAUAUGCUGUUUCCUUGUUCUCUCCUACACCUUCUCUUCUAUUCUCUGACUUGGUCUCAAUAAUGUUUUUCAGAAACCUUAGAAAUCUGGGGCUCUGGGCCACUAAGGUAGACCAUAGACAGAAAGAAGAAGCAGAGAGUGAAUGUGGGUACAUUUUCUACCUCUAACAUAGGCUAUUAGCACAUGUAUACUAGGACAUAUGGUGACCAUCUGGAACUGAAGCUACUUACGUCACUGCUGAAAUUCCUACCAAUAAUGCAGUCAGUUUUGGAAGAAUUGUAAUGCUCUAGUCCCCUAAAAGCUUGACUUCUAAGAGAAUGCCCUUGGCAAAGCAUGAUUAAGAGCAGCAGUAUAUUUGUUGGCACACAAAAUGAAAUGUCAGUUGAUAUAUGGGGCCAUGAUACUCCUUGACCUUAAUUGUCUUCUGGAACAUUGUGUCCUAAUCCUCCCAUGGAUGUCACUGUUAAUGAGCUGGCCAUGCAAGCUUAUACAAACAAAAAGGACAUCCCACAAAGGGAUCAAAGACAUUUCCAUCAAUCAGGUGCCCCAAAGGAAGAGCCAGAUAAACAGUUCCAGCUGGUGAUAAGUAGAGAUAGACCAGGGAUAAACCAACUACAGUACAUGGUGAAAUCUGGCUCCUG